AAUAUUGGACAAUGGGCGAAAGCCUGAUCCAGCCAUGCCGCGUGUGUGAAGAAGGUCUUCGGAUUGUAAAGCACUUUAAGUUGGGAGGAAGGGUUGUAGGUUAAUACCCUGCAAUUUUGACGUUACCAACAGAAUAAGCACCGGCUAACUUCGUGCCAGCAGCCGCGGUAAUACGAAGGGUGCAAGCGUUAUCCGGAAUUACUGGGCGUAAAGCACGGGUGGGUAGUUAGGUAAGUUGGAAGGGAAAGGCCCGGGCUUAACCUGGGAAUUGCUUUCAAAACUGACGAGCUAGAGUACGGUAGAGGGUAGUGGAAUGUCCUGUGUGGCGGUGAAAUGCGUAGAUAUAGGAAGGAACAUCAGUGGCGAAGGCGACUACCUGGACUGAUACUGACACUGAGGUGCGAAAGCGUGGGGAGCAAACAGG
rnacentral:rRNA from 1 species